AUUGAACGCUAGCGGGAUGCCUUACACAUGCAAGUCGAACGGCAGCACGGACUUCGGUCUGGUGGCGAGUGGCGAACGGGUGAGUAAUGUAUCGGAACGUGCCCAGUAGCGGGGGAUAACUACUCGAAAGAGUAGCUAAUACCGCAUACGCCCUACGGGGGAAAGGGGGGGAUCGCAAGACCUCUCACUAUUGGAGCGGCCGAUAUCGGAUUAGCUAGUUGGUGGGGUAAAGGCCCACCAAGGCGACGAUCCGUAGCUGGGUUGAGAGGACGACCAGCCACACUGGGACUGAGACACGGCCCAGACUCCUACGGGAGGCAGCAGUGGGGAAUUUUGGACAAUGGGGGCAACCCUGAUCCAGCCAUCCCGCGUGUGCGAUGAAGGCCUUCGGGUUGUAAAGCACUUUUGGUAGGAAAGAAAUCGCAUGGGUUAAUACCCUGUGUGGAUGACGGUACCUGCAGAAUAAGCACCGGCUAACUACGUGCCAGCCGCCGCAGUAA
rnacentral:rRNA from 1 species